GCCUAUGAUCUACAGUGCCCAUUCCAACUCAGAGAAUCUUUACAUCUGGAGAUCUAUAGCAGGGCUAUCCCUAGUGACAUGCGUGAAGAAGCUUGGAAAUGGUGCUGGGUAGGAGCUGAGUGUGCAGAAUGUGGAAAGGCAUUCUAAACCAAAGGAAGAACACGAGUAAAGAUGAUGAAGCAGGGAUAAGGCUAAAAUGAAAUUUGUGAUCUGAUCCACAUACAAGCACAGUGUAGUACAGCUGGAAUAUAGAGAAGAGCUUGAAGACUUAUGAGCAACUAUCCCGGUACUCUUGGAGGCUCUGCAACCACAGUUUGAGAAACUCCGCGUUCAAAGUUAAAAACUGUCACCUGAAUAGUUAAUAACAUCAAAGAUUGUGAAAGCAAGUAUAAAUAACACAGAGAUUAAAAUAAUGAGGCAGGAUCAGAAAAUGUCCAUUGCAAUCAGAAGCUCACCGAAUGUGCUUAGCUGAGUGGAGAAUGAUUUCUCGGUGUUGUAUUUGCUCUGAAGAGUCUGAAUUCUUGGGGAGGCAGAAGCUGGAAAAAACAAGAAGGAAGAUCUCCCAUAGAUUUUCAAGGUGCUGAGAAAACAGCUUCUAGACAUAUCUCGAAAGCCAAGUUUCUGAGAUGUAAUCAGAAAGCUGUAGUGGAAGGAAAUUUGAACCAGAAGACUGCAGUCCUGUCUAUGAACGUUAAACCUGUGUGGCUUAGGAAACGAGUCUAACCUCGUCUGAGCCUCAGUUUGUUCACCUAAAAGAUGGAGAUGAGAGCUCAUUUGUCUCAUUCUCAGGGGUUAUGGUGGCCAUCCAGACAUAAAGAAAUUAGAACGUUCAUUCAUCUGCAGAUGCUCACACAUUCCUACAGGAUGACUGAAACCCACAGCAAAC
rnacentral:lncRNA from 10 species